AGUGAACGCUGGCGGUAGGCCUAACACAUGCAAGUCGAACGGCAGCACAGUAAGAGCUUGCUCUUACGGGUGGCGAGUGGCGGACGGGUGAGGAAUACAUCGGAAUCUACUUUUUCGUGGGGGAUAACGUAGGGAAACUUACGCUAAUACCGCAUACGACCUACGGGUGAAAGCAGGGGAUCUUCGGACCUUGCGCGAUUGAAUGAGCCGAUGUCGGAUUAGCUAGUUGGCGGGGUAAAGGCCCACCAAGGCGACGAUCCGUAGCUGGUCUGAGAGGAUGAUCGGCGACACUGGAACUGAGACACGGUCCAGACUCCUACGGGAGGCAGCAGUGGGGAAUAUUGGACAAUAGGCGCAAGCCUGAUCCAGCCAUACCGCGUGGGUGAAGAAGGCCUUCGGGUUGUAAAGCCCUUUUGUUGGGAAAGAAAAGCAGCAGGUUAAUACCCCGCUGUUCUGACGGUACCCAAAGAAUAAGCACCGGCUAACUUCGUG
rnacentral:rRNA from 1 species